UACAGCUCUAAUGAGACCCCUAGCCUGGGAACCUCCACAGGCCGUGGGUGCGGCCCUAGAAAAGACACACACAAAAAAACAACAAAAAAACAAAAACAAACAAACCCUAAAACCAAGCAAUAACAAAUGCUGAUAAGAAUGUGGAGAAAGGGGAACUCUUGUGCACUGCUGGUGGAAAUGUAAAUUGGUGCAGCUACUAUGGAAGCAGUAUAAAUAUCCCUCAAAAAAUUUUAAAGAAAGAACUAUCAUAUGAUCCAGAACUCUCAUUUUGGGUAUAUAUCCAAAAAUGAUAAAAUCAGUAUCUCGAAAAGGUAUCUGCACACAUAUACCCUGCAGCAUCAUUCACAAUAGCCAAGACAUGGAAACAACCCGUGUCUACUGAUGGAUGAAGAAAACACACACACACACACACACACACACACACACACACACACAAAUAUCAUUCAGUCACUAAAAAGAAGGAAAUCCAGGAGUUCCCGUUGUGGCGCAGCAGAAACAAAUCCGACCAGUAUCCAUGAGGAUGUAGGUUCAACCCCUGGCCUUGUUCAGUGGGUCAGGGAUCCAGCAUUGCCAUGAGCUGUGGUGUAGGUCCCAUGUUGCUGUGGCUGUGGCGUAGGCUGGCAGCUAUAGCUCCAAUUCAACCCCUGGCCUAGGAACUCCAUAGGCCGUGGAUGCAGCCCUAAAAAAAAAAAAGGAAAUAAUGGUUCAGCACGUUGAAGAUCUGGCACUGUCACAUUGUCACUGCCAUGGGGUUCAAUCCCUGGCCCCAGAACUUCUGCAUGCUGCAAGCAUAACCCCACCACCACCAUCAAAAAAAGGAAAUACUGCCAUUUGCCACAACAUGGAUGGACCUUGAGGGCAUUAUGCUAAGUGACAGAAGUCAGACAAAAACACAUACUGUAUAAUCUCGCUUAUAUGCAGAAUCUAGAAAAGGUGUACUCAGAGUUCCUGUUUUGGUGAACUGGGUUAAGAAUCUGACUGCAGCAGCUUGGGUGUGAUCCCCAGCCUGGCAGUGGGUUAGAAGUAUCUGGCACUGCUACAGCUACAGAUUCAGUCCCUAGCCUGGGAAAUUCCAUAUGCCCUGACUGUGGCCAUAAAAUUUAAAAAUGUACAAAUAAAAAAUAAAAAAGUUGGGGAGUUCCUGUUGUGGCUCAGCAGGUUACAAACCCAACUGGUAUCCAUGAGGAUGCAGGUUCAAUCCUCAGUGGGUUAAGGAUCCAGCGUUGCUGUGAGCUGUGGGGUAGGUCGCAGACGCUGUGACCUGACACUGCUGUGGCUGUGGCAAAGGCCCUAGCUGUAGCUCCAAUUCAACUCCUAGCCUGGGAUCUUCCAUGUGCCACAAAUACAGCCCUAAAAACCAAAAACAAGAACACCAACAAAAAUAAAACUGAAUUUGUAGAAGCAGAGGAUAGAAAGGUAGUUACCAAGGGUUGCAAGAGUGGGAGAAUGAGGACGUACUGGACAAAGGUACAAACUUUCAGUGACAGAGACCUAAGUAUCAGGAUCUAACGUACGACACUGUGACUACAUUAAUAAUACUGUAUUUAUGCUCCAAAGUUGCAUAGAUUUUAAAAUUCUCACAAUAACAACAAAACAGUAAUCAUGUGAGGUGAAAGAUAUGUUAAGUAACUUUAUUUUGGUAAUUCUGUAAUACAUAUGUAUAUCAAAUCAUCAUACUGUACACUUUAACUUAUACAAAGUUAUAUGUCAAUUACAGCUCAAUAAAGCUCACUCCUAGGAUGAAGAUUAUCAAAAAGAGAUGAUGUGGAGAAAAGGAAAUCCUUGUACAAUGUUGGUGGGAAAGUAAACUAGUACACCCACUAUGGAGAACAAUAUAGACAUUUCUCAAAAAACUAAAAAAUUACCAUGUAAUCCAGCAAUCCCACUCCUGAGUAAAUAUCCAAAGGAAGUAAAAUCACUAUCUUGAAGAGAUACCUGUACGCCCAUUUUCAUUGUAGCAUUAUUCACAAUUAUCUAAGAUAUGAGGAAAAAAAAUCUAUGUUCACUGACAAAGAAACAGAUUUUAAAAGUAUGGUAUAGACAUGCAGUGACUAUUAUUCAGCCAUGAGAAGGAAAUCCUGCUAUUUGUGAUAAUGGCAAUGAAGGUGGACAACGUGUUAAGUGAAAUAAGCUAAAUACGAAAGACAAAUAUUGCAUGAUGCCUAAGUUCUAGAAAUCUAAUGUACAAUGUGGUAACUAUAAUUAAUAAUAACCUAUACUUGGAGUUCCUGUCAUGGCUCAGUGGAAAUGAAUCCGACUAGGAACCAUGAAGUUGCAGGUUCAAUCCCUGGCCUCGCUCAGUGGGUUACAUAUACAGCAUUUCUGUGAGCUGCGGCAUAGGCCACAGACGCGGCUCAGAUCUGACACUGCUGUGGCUCUGGUGUAGGCUGGUGGCUAUAGCUCCGAUUAGACCCCUAGCCUGGGAACCUCCAUAUGCCACAGGUGCGGCCCUAAAAGGACAAAAAAAGACAAAAAUAAUAAUAAUAAUGUAUACCUGAAAUCCACUGUGAGAGUAGAUCUUGCUUUCAAUGCACACACAAUCGAAGUAUAUGAGGUGACAGAUAUAUUAACUUGACUAUGGCAAUCAUUACAUAAAGUAUGCUUGCUUAUAUCAAAACACCAUAUUAUAUACCUUAAAUGCAUAUAAUUUUUGGUCAAUCAUACCUCAAUAAAGCUAGAAACAUAAAGGAAAAAAAAGGAAGUAAAGCCUCAUAGGUAUGGUGAAUUGAUUUUCACUUAAGGCACCAAGCCAAUUCAAUUGGAAAAGGACAAUCUUUUCAACAAAUGGUGCUGAGAAACAACUGGGCAGCCAAAGAGAUAAAUUUAUACCUUUAUAUUAUACCUUUAUGAUACAAAGGUAUAAAGAUAUCACUCAGCGGGGUAAGGAUCUGGCAUUACCGUGAGUGUAGGUUGCAGAUGUGGCUGGGAUCUGGCGUUGCUAUGGCUGUGGCGUGGGCUGGCAGCUGUAGCUCUGAUUCAACCCCUAGCCUGGGAACUUCCAUAUGCUGCAUCUGCAGCCCUAAAAAAUAAAACAACCCCCCCAUAAAUUAGAAUUCAUCAAAAGUUAAAGCUUUUGUAUUUCAAAAGACACCAUUAAUAAAAUGAAAAACAGAUUGAGAAAAGAUACUUGGAAGCCUAUCUGAUAAAGGACUUGUACUCAGAAUAUAAAAAGAAUCCUUAUAACACAAUUAUAUAAAGAUAACCAAGCUGAUGGGAAAAAAAGGUCAAAAGAUGUGAGUAAACAUUUUACCAAAGAUACAAGAAUAGCUAAUAAGUCCAGGAAAAGAUGUGUAACAUUAUUAGUCAUUAUGGAAAUGCAAAUUAAAACUACAAUGAGAUACCACUAAACACCUACUAGAAAGUAAUUAUCUAGUGUUGAUAAAGAUGCAUAGAACUUUCAUUUAUUGCUGUUGGGAAUGUAAAAUAGUACACUUUGCAACAAACAAUCUGGCAACUUUCUAGAAGUUAAACAUAAACUUACCAGAUCACCCUGCAAUUUCAUUCCUUAGUAUUUCUCCUAGAGAAAUGAAAACAGAUAUCCACAGAAAGAGAUGUACACAAGUGUUUAUAGCACAUCAAUCAAAAAAGCCAAAUCUAGAAAAAAAAUCCAAUGACCACUGACUAAACAAAUGUGAUAUAUGACAGAAUACUAUGCAAUAAUAAAAAGGAACAGAUUAUUCAUAUAUGUUAUAGCAGGAAUGAACUUUUAAAAUAUGCUAAGCAAAAGAAACCAUAUUCAAAGGACUGCGUGUUUCAUCAUUCUUACGAACUAAGUUGCCAUACCCCCAAUCACAAAAUAACCAUAUACAAACCAGAUACAUUUUUUUCAAUGGAGGUUUCCAGUAACUGCAAUGUAUUUUCCCACCAUUCAAACAUCCUCUGCUCUGCCAUUCAUCAUACCCUGAGUCUCCUUAGUCCCUACCCUGGGGUAUCCAAGAUAUUAAUCAUUUUAAGAUUACUUAGAGGGCAUUAUUUACAAUUUUGAGAGUUACCAGACCAAUGUAUUUGGACCUCAAACUCUGUGCAUCUCUACAGAUUUCCUUAGCCGUCUCCUUUCUCAUUUUAGCCAGUGCUCCCCCUCCACUGCGUCAUUCCUCCACUUUCAGACCUGGUUGAAAAACCACACCUCAAGAUUUAGUAUUAAGCUUUCUAAGCACUGCCAAUGGGCUGAAUGAUGAAACCUGGAAGUUUAGAGAGUUAGCUCCAUGAGAAUCUAUGACUAAAGGGUCCUAGACUGAUGGGAAGCAAGACAAGGAAGGGAGCUGGGCAUAUUUUAAGAAGCAAAGGGUACAUAUACAUGCAGGCAAUACUCACUUUGCAUGGUGCCAUGUUAAUGAAAACAUGUAUAUACUGGUUCCGCUGUACUCACUUUGCAUGGUUCUCUAUUAGGCAAAGCAAAGGAAGAACAUUUCUCAUAUGCAUAAAUUUGUUAGCAAGGUACCAUGCAAAGCAAGGAGUACACACACACACACACACACACACACACACACACACUGCAUUUAUUGAGAGCCUGUCAUGUGACUAAUGCUCAUAUUAAGUACUAAGGAUAAUAUACCUGGGGUAUAAAAUGAGAUGUUAGAAAACUUAAUCUACAUUACCCAUUAAGAAGUAGGUAAGCCAUAUAGUUUGCCUUUUAAAAUGUUUCUACAUCUGUAUUUCACUGCAAAUCCUCAAAGAAGCUCUUAUUUCUGAGUAGUAAGUUCUGCGUUAGGCUAACUGUAGAUGUUCAAAAUUGCACUUAGCAUUCAGGAGCGUAAGGUAACUUAACAUUUGUUUUUAAAUGUCUUAAAAUGCUCCCAUUUCUGCUGACAGAAAGCUGAAACUGUUUUGAUUUAAAGCAGUUUUAACAGAGUAGCCUAUCAAACUCAGAGUUCUUCCCCGACCCAUUUUCCUCCUUGAGGAUCUAAGUUUCCAAGGAGCUGACACCUCACCACCAGAAAGGGAUGGCUGGUCCACAUGUUGUCCGAACUUGGUCCUUGCUGGCCAACACUCCUAAGAUCUCAGUUUCAGAAACAUGGUCUUUGUUGUUAGCCUUUAUCCACAGCAAGCUAUGCUCCUGUUCAGGAUCAUACCAUGGCCUCCAAAUGUCAGAUAUGCAGUCUCUUACAAUCUUCAACCCAGCACCAAAGCUUCUACCUAGUUGACAGUCUCUUCACACCUUCACUCCUCAUACUUAAACACAUCUAGGGGCUUUCCUUAAGAUGUCCCUGAAUGUGGGAUCUGUAAAAGGAGCUCUCCUCUGCAUACCCACUCACUGUGGGGUAGUUUCUUUUUCACAUAUAACCAGAAGGAUGGCAAAUGCUUGACACAGGCUCAAUGAUGUCAAAAUUUCCACUUGGCACUGACCUCCCUCCCUCCCGGGUGUCUUCAGGAGGCUGUUAUAGCUCUGGUCAUCACACAACCACAGCCAAAGGUAAGCAGCAGGGUACACUACAAGCCUGUUUCUUUUCCAGAAGGUUCCCCUUAUGAACCCUCUACCACUCCUUUUUACAUUUCAGUUCAGAUCUGGUCUGUCUAUCCCCAGACCAAGAGCUGGGGCACUUUUCCUGAGACAAGGAUUCAUGCUUCAAUGAAACUGAGGCCCUCCUAGAAAUACGUGAUUUGCAUAGGUCUUCCAGCUCCAUCAAAAGCCACAGCACUCCUCCAGCCCUAACUGCUGAGGUACCAUGCUAUCUACGGUCUUGCCUACAAGUCUCCCAGGUUCUGCCCUGGCAAAGGCGGCAAACCUGCCAACCCCUGCUCCUGCAUUCCCCCCAAUUCAUUUAUGGAAUUCCACAUGCUCACAGUACUGAGCACAGGAACCUUUUCUCCAGCACUCAUUGAAGUCAUUCUCUCCUUACUUGCUGGUAAAACUCUUCUGGAGUGGAAAGUUCAUUACACAUUUUCUUCUACUAUUGUCAUAAUGCAACUCACUGUCUUCAGUCUUUCAGGUUUAGCUCUUGACAAGUUUAUUCAAAAUUCCAAAGUCACUUUAGGAAGUUCCCAUCGUGGCUCAGCAGUAACCACCAGACCAGGACCCAUGAGGAUGGGGGUUUGAUCCCUGGCUUUGCUCAGUGGGUUAAGGAUCCGGCAUUACCAUGGGCUCUGGUAUAGGUUGCACACAUGGCUUAGAUCCCGAGCGGCUGUAGCUGUGGUUUACUGUAGCUCUGAUUUGGCCCCUAGCCUGGGAACUUCCAUAUACCUCGGGUGCGGCCCUAAAAAGCAAAAAAUAAAAAAGGCACUGUAAGUACCUGCUUCUGACAUUUUCUUCAGCCAACUUUGGCACUCAAGGCCAGGAAUCUGUCCUUUGGUCAUUGCAGUUUUGUUCCCUUCCUUCCAUGGGGCCAUAAUCUAAGCCUUGGACUAAUUCUAAUGAUAGAAGAACUUCAAAGGAAAGGGAAAGACAAAAAAAAGCUUUAUUACAAUGUCCCACUGUGGUCAGGAUGUCCACAGUGGCUAAGUUUGGGCUGGGGACUUUGGGGGGCAGGGUAUAGAUGAUGCAGGGUAUAUGUAAACUAUUUUCUGCUCAGUUUUGCUGUGAUCCUAAAGCUACUCUAAUAGUUUAUUAAGAGAAAAAGACUCAUCAGAUGCAAUUCUGUACCAGGCCCUGUGCUAGGGGCAAUUAUACAUUGUCGGGUCUGUGCAGGUCCCUUGCCAGUUCUCUCUGCUGAUGGAAAGUCCCGCACAACAGCCCUUCUUACUGAACCACUCCAUCUCAAAAGAAAUUUCUCAUCAAGCUCAGAGGAGUUGGAGGGGCCCUGCCCAAAGCCACUCAAGUAUGGAGGGGUAGAACAGAAACCAUUGGCCGUUAUGCCAAGAUUUUUCCUAAUGCCCUUUGAGGUAUGGUGUACUUCUCUUUCAUCUCCGUACCAAUGGAACCAAUCCUGUUCAGCCUGGAAAAUGGCCUAAACCAUUUACCAGCCUUCCCUGCAGCCACCAUGGGGCAUGGCUGGGAAAACUCUACAAAAAGGUGCCCUUCUCCUUACAUCUUUCUCUUUAGAAAAGGGGUGAUGACCACCUAACAGGAGCCAUAUUAUGACAAAGAGGUGAACUUAAAAGUGGAAACCAUGUGCUAGAGCUGGC
rnacentral:lncRNA from 1 species